UGCAAGCAGCAGAGGCACCACGGGCUGUGGCUCGUUGUUGUCACCGGGGAAUGGUUCAUCAUUGUCACCGGGGAACGGUUCGUUGUCACCGGGAAGGGCUCUGGGUGGCUCCGGAACAUCAGGAUGGCAGCAGCGGCUGGUGGAAAACGCGUGUGGUGUUCUGGCUGUUCCUUUAGGCUGAGGAGAUAGGACAUAGACAUAAAAUCUGGUUUGCUGUGAGAACUGAGAAAGAAAGGUGCAGCAGUGCUGAGGUAUGAAUACUUGAAUUCAAAUAUUGCCUAUUAUAAAAGGACAAAAGUGACUUAGGCCAUGGGAUUCAUCUAAUGCUUUCAGAUCAUUAAAACAAAUAAUUUAUUGUUUCUAUUAGGACUUUGCUAUAGCUGGGCGUGGAGGGAUUUAGAUCACCUUUUUCAGUUUUUCCUCUAUGACCUGAGAGCUGUAACCUUACUUUUGUAAACUCGCGAGUAUUUCCAAGACGUGACACUGUGCAGCAUUGAGUUGUGUGAUCAGAGCACAAGUGCUGGUGGUGUGCUUUCUGCUGGGAGCAUUGACAGGCUUCAUUAGCUCUCUCUUCUCCAACUGCUGUGUGUGGCCCUGGGGGCCCGCCGUGUCACCCACAGACACCUCAGCCCUGGACAUGGCUGGUGUCACCCACAGACACCACAGCCCCAGCUCCUGCGUGUCCCUUUGGCAGGUCGAUCCUUCCCAGUCCCUCGGUGGCGUUUCAGGGUGGGGGCAGGAGCAGCGUUUGGGGGCUGGGGGAGCGGCUGCAGGGCCCCGCCGUGCCCAAACCCCACCGUGCCCAAACCCACCCAUGCAAGUGGGAACUGAGAGGGGAGAGAGGGACAGUCCUGGCGAGGCGCAGGCAGCUUCAUCCAGCACCCCAAGCUCAGUUCCGCCCUGGCAGUCGCCGUCCUGGGGGCUGUUGUCCCUGAUCUGUCUCUUGCCUGCAUGGCAGAGAAUUGUAAAUUCCCAUUUUAUUGAAUAAGAAAAAGCACCAAUCUCUUGCUGUUGGAAGAGAUCCUUCAAAACGUGGGCAGGCGAGUGCUCUGGGGCAGCCAUGGGGCUGGAAGCAGCGGGAUGGCGUGUGCACGUGUGUGUUGACACACACACUGGGCACACACGUGUGUGUUGGCACAGCUCCUGUCCCCAGCGCCGUGCGGAGCACUCGGCACCCGAUGGCUGGAAGCGGAGGCAGGGCAAUGGCAGCGGGGUGGAAAAGCAGGCCAAACUGUAUUCAUGUAGUUAUUUGCAUUGAAGUGUUUUGAUUGAGCCAUCUUCACUCCACUCUCACAAUGAUUUCAAGCGCGCGUUUAAGCCCGCUGGUUUUGCAUGUAUAAUAACUCAGCUCCAGUUCUGCAGGUGAUGUGAACACACCUGGUGCAGCCGAGGCACCGCGGCAGUGUCGCUCUCUGCGUGUAGGGCGCCUUGCUGCGGACUCCGGGCUCGUUAGUUUGGUCAGACAAAGAGUCCUUGGCUAGCAUAGAAACUGCAGUGUUCUGUGAAACAGAAGCUUCUUUCCUCUCAUCCAUCGCUUCAUUUAAAAUUUAAAAAGUGGGUAUCUUGGUAAACCUCCUUGCCCGUUUACAUAAAAAUCUUGGUAGGUGAUGCAUUAAGCUGCUUCCCUGUCAUUAUUUGCAAAUUUGUAACCCCUGAACAGGGCACUGAUUUCAUCCGCCGCUUGUCAUCUCAUCCCGUUCACACCAUUGUUUUUAAGCCAUUAGGAAAAUAACCUUUCAUGGGGGUUUGUUCCCCGCUGCAGGCAGAGGGAGCCUGAGCCCCAGCGGCCGCAGCCUCCGCCGCCGAUGUUUGCUGCCGUGUUCGGCCCCGAGACCCAAAGGUUCUGUAGGAGGCAGAAGAGUUCAUGAAAACAAAACCAGAAGUGAUAAACCGGUCUGUGUGUUAAUUUUCAGCCGGGUCUGGUGCCCAGACCAGACCCAGGCCAGGACAGCAGCAAGGUGAAUUGAAAAAGGAGAAAGGGAAGAGCAUUGCGUGGUUCUCGCAUUCAUUUUGAAGUUAUUGAAAGUGUAGUGACCCAAGGGAUGGGAAAACGGGUGUUGAAAUGAGUAUUUUGAAAUGAUACAAAUAACGAUGCUGAAUCUUUUCCUCUAUGUCAAUACUGAUAAAUGUGUCUAGAGAACUUACAGUACUGGAGGUUAAAACAUAACAUUAACUUGCGUCUGAGAAAUGAAGCUGGUUUAAUUUAUAUUUAUUGUUUAAAAACAGCCAUAGAAAGCUUCUUGUCAUAAUUUAUUCUUGAAAUGAGUCUUGCCUCAAGGGUUACCAUAGUUACAGAUGUUUCUGACUUUGUAAUGUAAGCACCAUCAACAUUUACGGCACAACGAGAGCCUCUAAUUGAUUUUUGUACGUGGAGAGCAGAAAGCGAGCGCUGGGCAAGACGCGCGGGGCUUAAUUGCAGGUUUCUGGGGGACCCGCUGAUGUGAUCGUGCGUCAAAGGGCUGUGAUGGUUCGAACAACAAAUGUUCGUGCUCAUAAAUAAUUUGACAAAUGGCGAGAUUAAUCUUAUGAGCUGAGAGCAGCCACGGAUGGAGCGGAGGGCAAUCAAGAGCUGGGGUUCAGCUGCAGCAUCCCCCACCGAGCCCCAGUGCUGCUGGAAGGGCCCCAGGGUGCUGGGGGAGGGGCACAGCCCCCUGGGACCCCCGGCAUGGGGCUGGGGGGGCACAGCCCCCUGGGACCCCCAGCAUGAGGCUGGGGGGUGGCCAGCCAUGCUUGUUUUGUACAGGAGAGUGGGAAGCUGGAUUGCAUGGAGCAUCCCAAACCAGAAGCCUCAAUCUGAAGCGUAGGGAAUAGUGUGGGGAGGAAGGCACAAGGCGAUGCCACGAGGUGCCUGCAUCCUGUGAUGCUGCUGUGACACAGUCUGGAGAACUGAAAAAGUGCAUGGGUGUCCCACCUCCCCUCCCGCGGGUGCUGCAAGCCCUUUGGGGUGGUGCAGAAGUCUUUUCUGUGCUAUCGACACCUAUUCGCUGUGGCUGAGUGUGUGGUUUGUGGUGAACAACAGCCGUGAGAGGCUGUAAUGCAUCUGCUUUGGAAACCUUUCAAACCCGGCUUGUGGGGUUCCAGUGGUGCCCGGCUGGGGCUGAACCUGGGACACGGGGCAGCUGAGCUGGUGGUCUGACCCGCAGGUCUGACCCGCAGGUCUGGCACCAGCUGCAGCAUCCUCCCCUCGCCCAGCCCCGACACGGCUGCAGCCGGGGCCGUACAGCCCCCCCCCCGCCACCGGCUGGUGUCACAGCCCCCCCGCUGGUGUCACCCUGUCCCCCGCACCGAGACCUGUCAGCUCCCCAUGGCCAGAACAGCCACCUCUCUGGUCACCAAGCUGUCCUCACCGCAGGCUCUUCAACUGACCUGAAAUGUUAGCUAGCAAGGAAAAAAGGGUUUUUGCUAUGAAAUUUUUUAAAAUGGUAUUUCUAAAUGUUUGAGCCAAGUUAGCCAUGUUAACAAUGAUAUUUACGUCAUCAACAUGAAGGUCUGGUUAUGUAGUGUAUUUUUCACAAUUACCUUGUUCCACCUUCAUAAUAACAGAAAAUAGUGAUUCACGUUGUGCAGAAACAGCAUCAAUUUACACCAAGAAAAGUAAAUCCAUUGUCCAUGUCUCUGACCCGAGGGACUGUCACUUCCGUAAAAUGUGCGAAGUCUUUUUAAAAUGUAAUCUCAUUUUCUGUAAUUGCCUCUCACCAGGACGUUCUUAUUCCUUCUUUCCUGUUUGAUUGUUUCGAGCUACUCUUGAUCAGGCAACAAUGGGAUCAGGAGAGAAGUAUCCGAGGGAGAAAACAAGGUGGAUUAAGGAGUUAAGGCUGUAGAAAAUCAGGAAAGACUAGGAAUUUCAGUUUCUGCAGCCAAAGGCUGACGCUUCUGAGCUUUGUGAGAGCAGUUUAGCAGCUGAUGUGAGAACAGGCUAAACCCCAUCUCCUUAAACCCGCUUUCCUCGCCUCCCGCUGUCACCCACAUACAACUUUAUUGGGUUUUUUUUACUGUUUUGAGGAGAUUCAGGCCAUGAGAUAAAGGAAAUGGUGCAAAGAGACACAUGGCGCAGUGAUUUGUGCAGUAAGUCGCGUUUCCAGGCUGCUCGUGGUUGUUCUGGUGAUCACAUCCUGGAGCCGCCGGCGUGUCCGUCGGUGGCCACGGUGCCACGGAACCCGCGCCAGUGCGCUCCACAAACCCACUCCUGGUUAAAGCUUUAAAGACAACGGAAAUUCCUUAAGAAAACAGAAAAUACUUAGAAAAAGUAUUAAAAUAUGUCAGGAAAAAUGCACAAACUUGAGCUAGACCUGAGGGUGCUAUAAGAAUUACGUUAUAUUUUUCAUGGAAUGGUGGCAGGCGUUGUUUCCCGCAUGGAGAGUUGCCUGGGAGCCCACAAUGCUCAUAAAGCCUGUGAGGUUGGAUAUUAACCACAAUGGUACAGCCGAACAGAACCUGGAAAUGGAGGCGGAAUAAAGGUGUUCCCUUACAGGAGCCCUGAUGGGAAAUGAAACGCAAAUACGCUCAGCCUCUUUGAAAAAGGACCUAAGUCCUUCCUAUAGUAAAAUAAGCAUGGAAAUGAACUUUAUUCUGCUGCUUUCUGACUUGAAAUACACAUAAAAUUGUCAUGUUGUGACAACUGGAACCCACUGUGCGAGGCAAAGAAAUAGCUCGAGAGAAAUAUGGGAAGCAGAGAAAUGCACUGAAGUGUUACUGAAACGGCUGGUUGAGGGGACUGAAGGGCUCAGCAAGCAGAGCGCCAGUAACGAAAUCAGUGCCUGCAGGAAAAGGGAGCAAAGUACCCAGAGAGCCAUCCUGCUGUGUCGCACCAGUAAAAUGAGCACUUCACGGCAGCCCCGCAGCGCCGCCCGGCAGCCCGGACGGGGCGCUGGAUCCACCACACCGCCCCUGUGCUGAGGGUGAGCAGCGCAGGCUUGGGCUGGGGAACCUCCCGGAGCCCAUGGUGGGGUGUGUUGGUGGUCCCGUCCCACCCAAACAGCACUCCGUGGCCCCAGGUCACCUCCUGCAGGUGGUCCCAUGGGCUUGCCUGAGAGUGAGAAGAGCAGCACAUGGCAAAAUACAACUGUCCUUCAAUCCUGAAAUCAAGAGGUGAUGGGGACUGGAGUCUCAGGCCAGCCGCAGUCAGGACUCGGUGUCCUGUUGGUGAAUGAGCCGUGCUGGGCUGUGAGAGAGGUGUGGAGAGCAUCGGUGAGAGAGCAGCACUCAGGCUCCAUGUGGAAAGAAAGGGGAGAGGGGGGCAAAGCAAUGAGACAGAAAAACAGCCUCGAUGCAGGGAUCCCGAGAGGAUGCAGGGACACACACCGGAGCCUGGUGUGCUGUGUUGUUUGAUAGAUCCCUGCUCAAACUCUUAACUGUGGAUCUCAAAAUUCAAGCGUCAACUAACCAGCAACAAUAUUGCUGAUAAGAGUGAGGGCAGCUUAGGCUUUUCCUGUUCUAUUAAUUUCUGUUCUGUAACUUUCAUGCUCUGUUCAUAGCCUGCAAGCCAGGGGUUAUUGCAUGGGUCAGGAGAGCAGCCCAGGAGAGAAAAGAAACCCCAGCUCUGCGGGCAGGGAUGGGCAGCAGGACCUGCCUGGCCAGGGUCCCCAGGCACAGGGUUCCGGAAUGGACACUCGGGAGCGCACAGCUCAGGUGAUGGAGCAGAGCACUGCACUGCAGAACACCAGCAGAAACGCAGAGCGGUGGCUGCUGCUCCCAGGGGUGCUCCCCGGGGCAGUAGCCCCCGCGUCCUGCUGCUCCCCGGGGCAGUAGCCCCCGCGCUGCUGCCGCGUCCCGCGCCGUGCUGGGCAGGGCUCCCCGAUCCACCUUGGCAGCAAGCUGGCAGCUGGAGGUUUGCCAGUCCCGCUUUCCUCACGGGUUUGUACCUCUCAUGUUCAAACAGUAUUUAUUUAAAUCGGCUGAUGGUAGCAGAAUUAAUUUGUUUUGAAGGCUGAGCCAGAAAGUAUUUGGCAGUUGGAUGGGAAAAUCUAAAACAAACAAACAAAACCCCUUAAACCAUAAAUCGUUGCUUAAUUCUCCAGCUUUGUGCACAAAACACCUUGGAGAACUGCUUAGUUCUGUAAGGGUAACGAGGCAGGAGUUGUUCCGUGUCGCAGCUGCAGUGUCAGUGUAUGGUGGUUGCUGCGGUGUCCCCAGCACGGGCUCUGCGGUCACUGUCACCGGGUGCCAGGAGCUGUGGGUGGGUUCCCGUGGUACCCGUCAGGGUAACCGAGCGGAACCGCUGACCGGCUUUUCUUUGUGUUAAUAACAAGGGCAAGACAGGAAUCAGAGCUUUAAUCUCCCUUCUCCAAGAGUGUAAUACCAUUUUGGCUAUAGGUGUCAAGGCCAUGCGAAAUAGAAAUGGGAAAUAAGCAAGAGAAAACAGUUGGAAGAAAAUGUUUAAUAUUUCUUUGUGAUGUUUCCUACACAAAUACCAUGGGUUGUGACUUUCACGCUGAUUUGACUACUGAUGCAAUUCAAGAUUGUACUCCAGCAGUACAGAUGCUACAGGGUCCCUGGAAAGUUGGUUCCAGCACCCAUGGCCAGGGCUCUGGUGUCUGUGGGUGAUAUCGGCCAUGUCCAGGGCUGCGGUUUCUGUGGGUGACACCGGCUACAUGGCCGGGGCUCGGGUGUCUGCGGGUGACACCGGCCGUGGCUGGGGCUCUGGUGUCUGCGGGUAACACUGGCUGUGGCUCUGGUGUCUGUGGGUGACACUGGCCAUGUCCAGGCCCAGCACCCAGCCCUGCCACCACGUCGUCCUCACCCGGCUCUCCCAGCAAUCCUGAUCCCCUGGCACCUCAGAGCUGGGGCAUCUUUGGGGGAAAAAAAUACUGGUGCUGCAAGAACCUCCCAAUACUUUGUGAGGCAGAUGAACAUCUCCAUAAACAGCUCCGGGCUGAGAAUCCCAUUCUGGUUUUACUUGUGUCCCAAGACACUUGAACAAAAGUUUUCAGAAGGGAAAGACUAAUAAAUCAAGACUGUGCUUCUCCGAGCUGCUCGAGGGAGCUGGUUAAAAUUAGCACGGAAUGUGGGCUGGAGGAGCGCGGCCUCGCCUCCCCGCGCCCGCGGGACCGCGCUGCCAGCGCUCCGGCUCUUCCAAAAAAGGCGAAAAGCAGCUCUGGGGCACAGCGGCCGGUUCCCGCGCACCCGCCGGGCGCUGGGGCAGGUGCCCACCUGCAGGCGGGAAACGAGCGCUCGGGCACGGCGGAGGAGCCAAGGCUGGAACUGCAAACUCCAGUUUAUACACUGGGGAGGGGUGGAGCGAGCCACCCCAGGGCCCUGCUGCCUUUAAGGGGUUUUUUCUACGUAUUGCUGAAUAUUAACGGAGCAUGCAGCCAAAACAAGUAAAUGGAGGCUGUGAAGUCACUUGUUGCUCAGAGCUUGCUGCAUCCCAGGAAGGGGCGUGGAUGGAGGGAGGGACGGAUGGAUGGAUGGAUGGAUGGAAGGAGCGAGCGAGUGCCUUGGCCGUGGCAGCAGCCGCCGGUGUGUGGUGAGGAUGAAGAAAUGUCCUCUGGAGGAUGUUUCUGAGCAAGGUCCCGCAAUCUGAAGUGUGUGGUAAAAAUCAGUGCAAAGCAUCAGCAGUCACAAUGCCAGUGGAGCUAAGGGUGGGUUUGGGCAGGGAGGACCCCGGUAGCCACGGGCUGUGGUUUUCCUCAGGGCUGCACCGUGCCCUGAGCCGCUGCUGCUGGCGCAGGGAGGGCAGGAGCGUUUCCCAAAGGCUCCCCAGAGUUUGGUGCGUCUGGCUGUUGGCAGCGGAGCACACCCCGGGGUGUCCCGCUGCCCAUGACUGUCCCGCCAGCAGCAGGCGCUGGCGCGUCCCCCUGCAGGACGAAGCUGCCCGGGGGGUGUCCAACCUCGCGCCCCAGCACGGCGGCUGCAGCUGAGCAGCAUCCCUUUGCAAAACCACGUGCUGGUUUUUCUUGGUUGUUUCCAAGCAACAAUAAUCUGUACUUUGGAAAAAACCUCCAUAUUUUCUUAAGAAAAGACUGUGAUGGUGUCGUGUCCACCAAGCAGGGGACAGUCCUCCGCAGCUGGGUGGCCAUGCCGGCUGCUCCGCGUGUGCCCACUGUGUGUACCACCAAGAUACAGAGAAAGGAGAAAGAGUUCUACGAGGUACCCAGCUCAUGUGCACGGCCUGGGUCAUCUGCUGAAUCGCUUCGUUCUUCUCUUCUGCUUCACCUCUCUUGUUGGUCUGGCCCACAAGCUUUACAGAAGUUGGGACUGUCCUGCCCUGGAACAGGACCCAUGGACCGUUGCAGAUCCACCUGGAAUGCUCCAAUGCGCAGGGUCUGCUUGUGUAACUAAUAGGCAGGCUCACUUGCUGGAAGGAGGGGGAAAGCAGCAGUUAAAAGGACGCAGCCAGUUCAGUGAACAUUAAUCUUGUCCCCAGCAAAACCACUGCCAGCACCUUGGAAGAUUUUCAGCUUUUCCACAAGGUCUUUAGGUUGGAGUCAAGAUAAAGGCUGAAUGUGCCCGUUCCCAGCCCCAAGGUCUGCGGUGAGGGCCAGUGCUGGGAACAGUCCUUGCCACGAAAAGCAUGGAAAUCUUUUAGAAACUCAGAAACUAAUGGGAAAAACAAUAAUUCCCAUUUAUCUCAACAGACGAUUCCUCAUUGCUGCUCAGGACCUGCGAUGUAGUCACUUCUCUGAUUUAAAAGAAAAAAUAUCUCCAUCAGGAGAGAACAGUAAUCUGAAUUUCAUCUUGUCUCCUCACCUUUACCAAAUGGAGUGGUUCCGUUCUGUUCCAUGAGACCGGUAAAAUCAGGACUUGCCUUUGCUGAGAGGUGACACAAACAUCAGAUUUCCAUAAAAAUGGAAUUUUGUAUUUAAAAAAGAAAUACAAAAGCAAAGAAAGGAACAGUGCCCACGUACCCCCCAACCGAAGAACCUGACAAAGCCGCCGGAAGGCGCAGCUCUGCCCUGGGGUGUUCGCGCCUCCCAAGGGGAGCGCGUCAGCCCCAGCGCCCUGCGUGCUGGCAAUGCUCUUGAAGGGGUGUUUCUGUUGAGAGGAAAGAACGAGUGGCUUUGUGACAAAGAAACAUCUGAGUUUUCCAAAGAGGAGGAGCAAGCUGGCUGUCAGUUUCAGUGUCACCUGACGGGGCCUGAAGCACAUGAGCCAGCUGGAGGUUUCAGCAGGAGCUCCCACCAGGAGGGAAUCAGGCACUGACAUGACGGACACUGCUCUGGACAGACAGACGGACGGCGGCUCAGCCCAGGCUGGGUCUGUGGGUGAGGUGGCUGCCUGGGCUAGACCUGCUUCUCAUUCCCUGGUCUGCCAACGGGCUUGGGAUUAACGAGGUGAUCACUUGGGCUCUCAGGUGCUGCAGCCGAGCCCCAGCCCCACCAGCAGAAACUGAAGCACUGAACUAUUUAUGUUCCAGUUCCUACAGCUAUUUUUAAUGCAGGUUCAGAGACUUUGCUGUAUUAUCCUUCCUUUUCAGUGGCUGCUUCUUUUCUUAAUCUCAUCUCAUUUUCCCUGCCCUUUCUUUAUCUUUGGAUCAAUUUAUACCAUCAUUUUUAUCACGGUCUAAUCAGAACACACUUUAUAAUUUCAGAUAAAUGUAGUCAUGGUAAUUUUCCACUCCAUUUAGGUCAAGCCAGGAUGAAGCAAUUUUUUUACAUCUUAUCUAGUAACCACCAGAAAUUACUCCUUGUUAAACUAUCUGUUCCUUUGCUUUUCUAAUGUUAUUAGAUUUUAAUGUCAAGUGUCAGUCUCCUUUUUGGUAUUUUUCAGUAUAUAGGUUCUGUGCUGCAAGUCAACCUGUAAACCCUGGAGGGAAAUGCUGGGGGUCCUCUUUGUGUCCCACAAGGGGCCCGUGCAGAGCGGGGCUGGCGCUGGGCUUUGCCGACAGCGGGCGCGCAGCCGCCGCGGUCACCGGCACCCCCUGCUCAGGCUGCGACCGGCCUGGCGACGUCCCUGCUGAGAGGGUCACGCUGGGACUGAGCCGCUUGGGUGCCGGGGGGACGCGGCAGCGGGUUCGGGAGCCGCAGCGCAGGUGGGUGAGCAGCCCCGAGCCCUGUCCCGCUGCACAAACCCGCGUUUUGGUGCUGCCACACCAGCGGCGCGGCCAUGGGCACGUCCCGGCACCCUGCCCGGGGUUUCACCUGCUUCUGCAGCCGGCAGAAACCUGCCCCGCUGUCUGAGGCACUUCAAACACGACUCUGCUAUCUCUGGGUGACAGACGCUAUCUGAGCUUUAAUAGUAUUAUGCAUGAUAAUAUUAUUCAGCUUGAAGCAAGCUAGCAAAAUGUUAACAAUAUUUUAAUUUGAUAUCACAUGAUUUCAAAAACAUUUAUGUUCCAAAUUGUCAUCCUUGGCCUCUAUUUUAUCCUCUCUCUGAGGGUGGUUUUUGUUCCCGCUUUGUAAUGCAAACAGCAGCCCCGGUGCUCUGGCUUCCCUCGCAAAGGUUAAGAACACACGCCUGGUGGCGUCCCGGCUGGUGGCAAAGGGCGGGCGCUGGGCCGGGCCCCAGCAGGUCCCGCUCGGCACGGCGGCCGCGCAGCCCCCGGCCUGGGGGUGGCCCAACACAUCCAGUUCAGGGCUUGUUUUGAUUGAAUAUUGUAGCUAUUGGCAAAGAUAUGAACCAGCCUUCUGAACGUGUGCGAAGUGAGGACAAAAGUGUUCAGGAUAAACAUUAUUUUAAAACCUCUGAGUACUUAGUGUAGUUAGACGUUUUAGUUUUAAGCCCGUGCUGUGGCUGCUGGCCAGGCUGCUGUGAGGACGGGCAGCGGGGCCCAGGGCACCCUCCGUGGAGAAGGAGUUCGGCAGAUUCGGCAUCGCGUCCCUUGGUGUCGACAGGGCUUGGAGCGAGGGAUGGAUACUGGCCUCGGGGACCCGGCAAACCUGUUCCCCCUGGCUGGACACCCAGACGGCGGCUGCGUUUCCCCAAGCAGCACGGAGCUCCUGGCGGGUCUGGAGGAUGUACAGGCAUCGCCGUGGAUCCAGACACUGGAUGUCCCAAAAGAAACGGUCCGUUCUGUCCCUGCCGGCCGGGCGACUAUACAAGUGUGCUCUGGUGUCUGCUGGAGGGUGCAGGCAUUCCCGAGCCACCGGCACAGCCUGCGUUCAGCAGCACACACAGACCAUUUCUGACCCGUCUCAGCCCCUCCUGCAGCCCAGGCUGGCAGCAGCAUCUCCCACCCUGCAAGUACUGCAGAGUGGGGACCACACAUAGAAUCAUGGACUGGCUGAGUUGAAGGGACCUCUGGAGAUCCCCAAUCCAACCCCCCCACUCACGCAGUGUCACAAAGCAGAUCCCAGGGGGUUUGAAUGUCUCAGAGCAGGAGACUCCACACCCGCUCUGGGCAGCCUGGGCCAGGCUCUGGCACCUCCCAGCAAACAAGUUUCUGCUCAUGUUCAGAUGGAGCCUCCUGUAUUUCAGUCUGUGCCUGUGGUCCGUCACUGUGGGUCCCCAGGGCAGCUGCCAGCAGCUGAGAUGCCAGCUCAGAGAUGUCCCUGCUGUCCCAAUCAGACAUGCCCAGCGAGGAGAGGAAAGCAGAGGGAGGGCUGAAGCGAGCAGGCCUGUCUGGGAAAGGCACCUGAACAGCCUGGCCCUCCUGGACCUUCGGCAGCCCACACAGCUGCCAGGGGACACGGCACAGGGCGGGGCGGCAGCCGGUCCCUGCACCGCGCUGGUGAGAGCUGCCCUGAGCGCGCGGGACGCUGAGAUGUUCUGAUGGCAUCCAAACGGCUCAUGGUACUCAGCCGCAUCAUCUCUCCUCUGUGAAGGAUGUGAACUCCUCUAGAAUAAAAUAAAAUCCCUGCUUCCCAGCAGUCUGCAGAGUUAAAAUUCUGAAGAUUACACUGUGGAUAUUGCUGCUUAAUAAUUACAGGUGGCAGCACAAACUAGUAGCAAGAGUGCUACAAUCAAAGGGAAGCAAGGGAAAUUACUUGGUGAUGCUUUUAUGGGGCUCUAACGGAUGCAUAAAAAACUUAAGCUAUGUAAUUUCUACUUUCAAAAUGAAACUGAAACAGGUAAGAACUGACUGCCUAAGCAUUUAUUUCAUGUCUUUCACUGAGUUGUCUAAGACACCUCGCGACACCUGAGUGCCACAAACCCUGUCCUUGAGGAGCCACCAGCCAUGACAUGAGGAGGUGACAUGGACACAGCUCAUGGGAACCCAGCAGCAACUCAGCCACAUUCCUCAACAACCACGCGAAGUUGCUUACAGCCCGCAACACUACCUCAGUUUUAGUGCUUGUUCCAAACUGCCCUUUGGCUUUGUGCUUUUGAAUUGCUUUAAGGUUGUGACUCGGUAUUUCUCUCCCAGGUGCUGACAGCCAGGGUGUGCGCCGGUGUGUGCUGGGCCGGGAACCCAAGCACCGACACUCGUGUCUUGCAAUGAGACCAGAAAUGACAGAACAGAACAGCUCCAUGUCAGCUUGUGCCAUCGACAUCCCAGCUCGCUCUGGAUGGACACCAGGAUCACGGGCAGUUCAGGGGGGCACAGAGCCCCUGAGGUGGGUGGCUGGACACCAGGAUCCAGGGCAGUUCAGGUGGGCACAGUCCCCCGAAGAUGGGCAGCCCGGCCCCUGCUCCAUGCCGGCGCAGCUGGGGUCUUUAUCCAGCAGGUGAAGCGGCAGAGGAUGGACCUGCAGACCUCUCUGGGCCGAGCAGCUCUGUCUGGGGCCUGGGGGAAAGUGUUUCUUUAUAAGCCCCUGAGCCCCCCCCUGCUGCGCCCACGGCGCCCGCCCUGUCCCGCGGCACCAGAGCCCCCGCGCUGCCCCGGGAGCUGCUCCGUGCCCGCAGGGAUGUGCUGGGGGCUGGAGGAGGGCUUUCGUUUGUAAGCUGUUAGUGAUUCACCCAGGGAAGGGGCUGAGGUACGAGGGGGCUGCUGCAUCCAGCCCUUGCCCAGUUCCACGUGUCCCGCUCUCACAGACAGAGAGAACAACACCACAUUCCCUCUCGGCUCCUCUUCCCGCAAGGGCGCCAGUGACACUCACCGUGGGAAACGUCCUGUGACAGACCUUCCCGUCAGGUCGUGGUUACUGCAGAGCGGCUCUAUGCAAACACGGCUAUUUUUUCAGGUUUAAUUGAAUUUUCCGAGUUCCUGGUCAUUGGGCUGCUGUACGCACAUCAUACUUACCAGUUAUUCGUCUGUAUUUCUCCAUGUACUCACAAUCUUGACCCAGUCACAGUGACAUUUCCUGCCUGGAAUGUAAAGUCAGUUAGAAGUCAUGCUCCGAGAGCUGUGAGCCUUCCCAGGAAAACUUGUCACAAGCAGAAUUGGAUAGAAUAUUAUUAUAAUAAUAGCUGUUGGUUCUAGUGUGAUAAAUUUUAAACAAAAUAAGGCUCGAUGAAUCAUAUUGUAUAAUAUAUUGUAUUGUUUAGUGUUGUAUUGAAAACUAGAGGAUUAACUGAGAUCUGAAAACCAUUCCUGAAAUGUGCACUUAUUUGUAAAUGGAUAGCACCAAAUACAGCUACAGAUUGAGGCACAUGAACAUGUUCCUGUGGCAUUACUAUCAAUAUGAGCUACCAGAUGUGGAGCCAGCCUUCGGACGCGCUGCUGAGCCCCGUCCGCGCUCCCUGUGCGCGCUCCCGCUGCCCCGGCAGCGCCGCGGAGACCCGGCGGCGGGAGAAGGGUCACUGCCCUGCUCGGUGCCUGCCAUGGCUGCGGCACUGGAGCGGUUUGGGGUGCGUUGGGACACACUGGUCCCUCACGCCGGGGUCUCGUGCCCUCCCCUGGUGACACAGGUUUGCCAGUUACUGACCAGCUCCGCUCCUCAGGCGAGGCACUGGUGACGGCACCUGCUGCUGGGACCAGCUGGGCCUUCACUGCACCCUCCCGGCCCCAUGGAG